UCGAGACUGGUACGGUGAGCUCCCAGCUGGGGUUCGUGACUUUGUUGAUGAGACAGGCUUCGAUAUCUUCUGCUCCAGCCUGACUCGGGUUGUAUUAAGUCAUCUUCUCUUAGGGGCUCUAGUGGAGAGGUGGUGGGACAUCACCAACUCGUUCCAUUUCUCCACCAUGGGGGAGAUGACGAUGACCCCUUAUGACUUUUCCAUGAUCACUGGCUUGGGUGUAGGGGGUGAUCCGAUCCCUCUUGACCCUGACAUGGGAGAGUGAGAGGCAACAUGGGUUGCGUUGUUUGGGGCACAUCCAUCGACACUCCGGUUAGGCAUGGUCCGGUAUAGCUAGUUUGAGGAGCAGUUUAGGGGGACUGAGCCCGAGACGGUCGAGGCGACAGAGUAGUACGCCAGAGGCUUUCUCAUAUUCCUUUUCGGUACCACCUUGUUUUCGAACAAGUGGAAUACCAUGGGCCUGUAUUUGCUGAGCGCCUUCGUAGUGCUCAAUCGAGUUCAGUUCUAUGAUUGGGGCGGAGCCGGCCUCACCACUUUGUACGGAUACAUGAGCUUGACUUUCUGCAUGAAUGGGAGCUUGAUUGGAGGCUACUAGCGGGAUUGGGAGCUAUGGGUGUACGCAUACUUCCCGGUUCUUGCUCCAGAGCCCAUAGAGGAGGUUCCAGCGACAGUCCCGUUUUCUUGGGUAUACGAGGGCCUGCUCUGCUGUAGGACCCAGGAAAACUUCAUGUUUUUCCGCCAGUAUUUCGAUGUGGUUCGGCGCACGAGGAAACCCAAUAACAAAAUCACAUGGCAGCCCUGGGCCGUGAUAUCGUCAGGGCUUCGAGCCUAGUAUGAUAUAGCUUGGGUCGUCACCCACCAUCGCAUUUUUCUCGAGGGCCCGAUUUGUCGCGCCUGGUUCUUGGACGAGCGCUUUGCGAGCCAGACUUUGGGCCUAUCUGCCCCAUUCAUACUGAUGGUACCUCCGGUAUCCAUGAGAGUGACACACAGACUGUUUACCGAAGAGGUGAUCCAAUUCAUGGUAGGGCUGGAGGUGGAUUAUUUCUGUGUAGAAGGCGAUCAUCCGACCUUCAUCUAAACACACCUGAUGUCACAUCUGACCGGCGUUCGCGGGGGCGAGGGAAUGAGAGCUCCUGUUGUGAGGGUGACACACAGAGCGAGUCGGGCGAGCACAGCCCGUGGCAAAGGGAUUCUGCAGAUAGGGCGGAGGGCUGGUUGGCCGGAGCUUCCGACCGAGCUGACAGGUUGGCGAUACUCUGGAGCGGCCUAUUAGAUUCCGAUCGAGCCUCCAUUGCCUGGUCACAGAUAUGUCAAGCCCUCCAUAGAGUACGUUGAUGGAUUACUCGAGAUGUUGGCCUCAUUCGAGGCGUGAUCUUGAGGAGAGAGUCGAUACUCGGCUUCUAUGGAAUUGAGGUCCCACAUUUACCGACAGCAGCAACAGCAGCCGGACCUUCAACACCUCCUCCAGUAGUAGGGAGAAGAGGGAGACAGGCUCCGAUAUGCAGCCGAGGCAGAGCUAGGGGCGGCGGCGACAGGAUCGACCCUUCAGAGCCCAUCUUAGGCGACGAUGAUGAUAAGACGAGCGAGGAUGAGGAGGCUGCGAGUCUAUAGUCAGAGUCAUCUGAGGACGGAGACGACGAUGCCGGCUCAAAUUCUGCUAGUAGUAAGGCUGCGGAGGCUGCGGAGGCAGAGUAGGGCUCCGAUUCAGACUUUGAUUCAGAUUCAGACAGUCGCGCCGACGGAGACAGUGCUUUAGAGUUCGCUCCACCGAGGAAGAGAAUGAAGAGGGCUUCUUGAGCCUGAGAUAGUUGGCGUUGAUUUAUCUAUGUUUUGACUUAGUUUCUUUUUGCUAGCAGUAUUAGUACUUUGUACAGUUCAGACGAGUUUUAUUUCUUAAAAACUUGUACUCUUUUGUAAAA